AUAGUUACCUGGCAAGGGAGAUACCAUGAUCACAAAGCUGGUUUUUCCCAGGUGAGACUUUUCCAUUGCAUUCUGGAUGUGCUGACCCCUGCAAUUUCCUGGGAAACUCCAAUGCAUAAUUUGUGGUAGUGGGAGACUGAGUUUAAAUUUUAUUGUUUCAUUCCCCUC